CUCCGCUACAAAAAGUUUUAACAGAAAAUCAAUGCCAACUCACUCAAAAUGAGUAUAUUAAAUAUAAAGGUAUCUUCUAGCAAGUGAUAUUUUAGCAGCUAAUUCAGAUUAUAAUACUUAAUUUGACUAUGCUAGUUCUCUCAAAAGGACAUGUGGCACCAACAGUAGACCCCAGUUAAACCAAGAAACUACAUCACCAUACGAGAAAUUAUACCAUACCAACUUAAUAAUUCUACUUUAUUUUAUUUAUUUAUUUUGAGAAAAGGAAACGCAGGGAGAUAAGCCAAUGUUCAAGAUGCUUCACAAAUGGAGUCUCAACAGUGAAAAAGGCCGGAAAACUCAUAUUCAAUCUGAACAGAUUUUCAAUCAAGAAUAUUGGAGUCAAAAUAAAGAAGAAAACGAAAUAAAGCUAAAGGAACCCAACCGAAAAUAGGUUCAUCACAUAACAUCAAAAUAGAAUAUGAAUGAGGGAAGAGAUAUUACCUUUUUCCGGCAGCAAACGGGGGACAAUGACAAGCAGAAAGGUAGCUUUCCACGACCACAACGAGAUUCCGACUCGGGCAACGAUCGAGAAAUCCGAGUAGAAUAUUGGACUUAACCCCGAAACUAGUUCUCCUCUGGUUCCUGGGUAUAUAUUUAGUAUGUAUUUAACUAUUUUUUGCUUAAGUAUUUCAAGGUAUUUUUUUGCUCAAAAAAAAAUCCCACCCCUACAAUGGAGAAGAAGAGACAUAUAUAUAGGGGGGAAAUCUAGGGUCCAAUUGGGAGGGAAAAGGGUAGAAUCGGGAUUUGAAUUCGACCCUCCAUUUGAAUUUUCUUCCCCAAAGGAUGGGGAAAAGUUGUUGCUUGUACCAUAUUUCAACCGAAAUCCCCUAAAAAUCGGAUGGAGAGAAAGCUGUGGGAGCAGCUGUGGCAGAGGAGGAAGACGCAAAAGCUGUUGCGUGUGCUGCUGCUGUGAGAAGUGUUGCUACUGUACACAACUGCUGCUGCUUUUGACGUUUCUGGUCUUGCUGAAGAAGAAGGAGAACACAGGUGGGGUUGUUCGGCUACUGUAUGUAUUGUAUGUAUUAUUAUAUUGUUGGGAAUGGGCUAGUAGUUUGGUUGGGCUGCUGUAGUUGUAUGGGAUUGUUGUAUGUAGGCAUUGUAUGUUAGGAAUUGUUUGACUAAAAUGGGCCUGAAAUGAGAAAGGCACGGGCUGCUGGAAAUUAAAGAAAUGGGGCCCAAAACUAAAGUCUUUGGUGGGUUUAAAGUAAGGUAUAACUAAGUGAAUUAACAACUUAGCCAAAUCGAAUUUAAUUUGCAAAUUCGGCUAAAACUCAAAUAGGACGAAUUAGUAUAAUUAAUUAAUGAGCUUCUUAAUUUUAACGAAAAAUAAAAUAAUUAACUCAAUUAUAACCUAACUAAUUUAAAUAACUCGAAAUUAUAACUAUAAUUUACGCUAAACUAAUUUAAUAAAAUACUUACUAAAAGUUUAAAAUCUUUUUGAGAUGAUUUUCGAAAUGUUUAUAAAAUAUACUAAUUAUAUAUAAAACAUAUAUAUUACAUAAAAAAUUAUAAAAAUGAUAAAAUUGAUUAAAAAAUAACUUGAAAAAACAUUUUGAACUUUACAAAGUCAAUUGUCUCAAAUCGUUUGGAAUUUAAGAAACUUGAUGAUUAAUAUAUAUUGUGGAGGUCCAAAAUUGGGUGUCAACCUAUUAAAAAAAAAUAUACCAAACAAGCUGAUAAUAUUAAUAUACAAAAUUAAUACAUACACUAUUUUUUCUGAUAUACUUUACCAAACUACUCCUAAAUCAAGUUUCGAGGAUGACUUUAUAGCAAAUAAACCCAACCUCUUCAUACUAACAAAUGAUUUAAUUGAGUGGAAAACAUAUUUAUUGACAAUAGACACACAUCAAUUUAUGAUAUACUAGUCUAUAGUUGAUCAUCGUUGAUAAAGUGAUUGAAAAUUUGAAACAAUGAAGAAAUUAAUUUUAAAAAAUAAUGACUAAGAGUUAGAAAUAACAAUGAUUAUAUUUAAACAGUGAAAAAGGCCGGAAAACUCAUAUUCAAUCUGAACAGAUUUUCAAUCAAGAAUAUUGGAGUCAAAAUAAAGAAGAAAACGAAAUAAAGCUAAAGGAACCCAACCGAAAAUAGGUUCAUCACAUAACAUCAAAAUAGAA
rnacentral:lncRNA from 1 species